rnacentral:rRNA from 1 species
UACGUAGGAUGCAAGCGUUGUUCGGAAUUAUUGGGUGUAAAGGGCGCGUAGGUGGCCCUGUAAGUCAUGGGUGAAAUCCCUCGGCUUAACCGAGGAAUUGCCUAUGAUACUGCAGGGCUUGAGUACGGGAGAGGGAAGUGGAAUUCCUGGUGUAGCGGUGAAAUGCGUAGAUAUCAGGAGGAACACCGGUGGCGAAGGCGGCUUCCUGGACCGAUACUGACACUGAGGCGCGAAAGCGUGGGUAGCAAAC